rnacentral:rRNA from 1 species
UGGGGAAUAUUGCACAAUGGGGGAAACCCUGAUGCAGCGACGCCGCGUGAACGAAGAGGGUCUUCGUAUCGUAAAGUUCUGUCCUAUGGGAAGAUAAUGACAGUACCAUAGAAGAAAGCUCCGGCUAAAUACGUGCCAGCAGCCGCGGUAAUACGUAUGGAGCGAGCGUUGUCCGGAAUUAUUGGGCGUAAAGGGUACGCAGGCGGUUUAAUAAGUCGAAUGUUAAAGAUCGGGGCUCAACCCCGUAAAGCAUUGGAAACUGAUAAACUUGAGUAGUGGAGAGGAAAGUGGAAUUCCUAGUGUAGUGGUGAAAUACGUAGAUAUUAGGAGGAAUACCAGUAGCGAAGGCGACUUUCUGGACACAAACUGACGCUGAGGUACGAAAGCGUGGGGAGCAAACAGG